UACGAAGGGGACAAGCGUUGUUCGGAAUUAUUGGGUGUAAAGCGCACGUAGGCGGGUUUGUAAGUCGAUUGUGAAAUCCCUGGGCUCAACCCGGGAAUUGCAGUCGAAACUGCAAGUCUUGAAUGCUCGAGAGGAUGGUGGAAUUCCAGGAGUAGUAGUGAAAUACGUAGAUAUCUGGAGGAACACCGGAGGCGAAAGCGGCCAUCUGGCGAGUCAUUGACGCUAAGGUGCGAAAGCGUGGGGAUCAAACAGG
rnacentral:rRNA from 1 species